rnacentral:rRNA from 1 species
ACGGAAGGUCCAGGCGUUAUCCGGAUUUAUUGGGUUUAAAGGGAGCGCAGGCGGACCUUUAAGUCAGCUGUGAAAUACGGCGGCUCAACCGUCGAACUGCAGUUGAUACUGGAGGUCUUGAGUGCACACAGGGGUACUGGAAUUCAUGGUGUAGCGGUGAAAUGCUCAGAUAUCAUGAAGAACUCCGAUCGCGAAGGCAGGUAUCCGGGGUGCAACUGACGCUGAGGCUCGAAAGUGCGGGUAUCAAACAG